GCAUGCACCUCUUAUGAUUUAAGGAUAAUAGGAAUGGAGAAAAGGAAUAAAACUUUCCAAAUACCAUAUUGCACUUGGGAAUGCUAGUAUUUCUUGCAUCUUGUGAUGCUUAUAAGAAGAGUGAUGCAUUUGGAGCUGCAAUUAGUUGAUGUUUUUGUGGAGAACUUUGUUUUUUAAUGCUAUGUGCUAGUAAUUUUCUGCUUUUAUGUUUUAAGAUUGAUCUUAAUAGUUUAUAACUUGCAGUUUCAGGUGAAGGGCAAUGGUG
rnacentral:misc_RNA from 1 species